AUUGAACGCUGGCGGCAGGCCUAACACAUGCAAGUCGAACGGUAACAGGAAGACGCUUGCUUCUUUGCUGACGAGUGGCGGACGGGUGAGUAAUGUCUGGGAAACUGCCUGAUGGAGGGGGAUAACUACUGGAAACGGUAGCUAAUACCGCAUAACGUCGCAAGACCAAAGAGGGGGACCUUCGGGCCUCUUGCCAUCGGAUGUGCCCAGAUGGGAUUAGCUAGUAGGUGGGGUAACGGCUCACCUAGGCGACGAUCCCUAGCUGGUCUGAGAGGAUGACCAGCCACACUGGAACUGAGACACGGUCCAGACUCCUACGGGAGGCAGCAGUGGGGAAUAUUGCACAAUGGGCGCAAGCCUGAUGCAGCCAUGCCGCGUGUAUGAAGAAGGCCUUCGGGUUGUAAAGUACUUUCAGCGGGGAGGAAGGGAGUAAAGUUAAUACCUUUGCUCACUGACGUUACCCGCAGAAGAAGCACCGGCUAACUCCGUG
rnacentral:rRNA from 1 species